GACCAGUAAUUUCAGAGAAAACUAUGCAUGCAGGAUAUUGCGCAAUCAAAUAUCGCCGCCAAAUCUGGUGAUCAAUAGUGGUACAGAAAGUGAUCACAAACAUGUAUGCUAAUUUUUGCACAGUUCUGACCAGUUCUUUUUGAGAAAAUAAGUUUGCAGAAAAUUGCGCAAUCCAAUAUGGCCUCCAAUUCUGGUGAUCAAUAGUGGUACAGAAAGUGAUCACGAACAUGUGUGCUAAUUUUCAUAUUGUUCUGACCAGUAAUUUCAGAGAAAACUAUGCAUGCAGGAUAUUGCGCAAUCAAAUAUGGCCGCCAAAUCUGGUGCUCAAUUGUGGUACAGAAAGUGGUGACAAACAUGUAUGCUAAUUUUUGCAUAGUUCUGACCAGUUCUUUUAGAGAAAACUAUGUUUGCAGAAAAUUGCGCAAUCCACUAUGGCCUCCAAUUCUGGUGAUCAAUAAUGGUACAGGAAGUGAUCACGAACAUGUGUGUUAAUUUUCACAUUUUUCUGAAAAAAAUUACCCAAAAAUAUUUAAAAAAUAAUCCAAAACCCCCCUCACAUUAGCCAUAACUAAACAUUGCCUGUCAGCAUAAGGCUGAAAGGCAUAAUAUACUUCACUAUAAUACCAGUGCAGUGUAUUAUAUGAUCGAUCUGAAGAUCGCUGGUAAACGCCCUCUUACAGGAUUACUUUAAAAAGUACAAAGAAAAGAAACGGUUGAUAAAGUAAUAAGUAAUACCAUCAGCAUAAUGUUGGGAGGCAUAAAACAUUUAUUAAAUAAUUCAACUCGUCCCCCCAUUUCAAAAAUAAAAGGCGUACAUUUCCAAUACAUGAUUAACUGUUUUAUAUGAUAAAAAAUUUUUAGAUAAAAUAUUUUAUAAAAAAUAAAUUAAAAAUAUCCAAUUUAUUUUAUGGAACAAAAUGAUCUAGAUCUCAAUGUGUCCCUUUUUCUUAUGCUUAUUCAUAAUUUCUGAGAUAAGUAGUUCUGGCCCUAGGGUGUGAUAUAUAUAGUAGCGUCUGUAGCAUGUAUCAGGAAUAUGUUAUCAUACCUGUGUCUUUUUACAGAUGACUGAUGCCCAGUGAGAAGGUGAACGUGACAUAUACCCUCGUCAGCUGGAGGAAAGGAACCACGAGACAGGGGACUGAUGCCCAGUGAGAAGGUGAACGGGACAUAUACCCUCGUCAGCUUGAAGAAAGGAACCACGAGACAGAUGACUGAUGCCCAGUGAGAAGGUGAACGUGACAUAUACACUCGUCAGCUGGAGGAAAGGAACCACGAGACAGGGGACUGAUGCCCAGUGAGAAGGUGAACGGGACAUAUACCCUCGUCAGCUUGAAGAAAGGAACCACGAGACAGGUAAUUAAUAUUUAUAUUAAUUACUGAUAACAAUCAGGCUAGAUUUAAAAUCUAGACCUGCAGAGAUUUUAUAGUCUCUCCCUUAUACAUGAAGAUAUAUGUGUUGCUAAUAAGUAUAUCGUUUAUGGACAGCUUUUUAUAUAACACAAGCAUAUCUCAGGUACAGAGAUUAGGAGCAUUUAUGAUCCUUAUUCUCUGUUUUUUCAUUUGUAGGAAUCCCCUUUUUUAAUAAUCAAUAGAACAGACUCAACAGACUGCAGAGUUUACAAGUUUACUUUAGAAAGUGGGCUGACUGACUGCAGAUGUAGGUCUUAACUGUACUAAAUAAAGAAAAAUUAACAUUUUUUUUAUUCAAAUAUAUAAUUAUAGCCAAAGACUAUAACCACAAAAAUACAUACUCUUUUAACAUAAUGCUGAAGGGCAUAUUAAACUGCACUUUAAUACUAGUGCAAUGUAUUAUGUAAGCAAUCUGAAGAUCUCUGUUAAAAGUCCCAUUUAUCAAAAUUAAAGCCUAGGAUCAAACUGAGGAAUUUCCAGCUGGAAUAACUAUUGCCAGAGGUUCCACAGGUGCAUUGCCGCACCAUAGAUGGCAAUAUAUUCUGCAUGGAUCCUAUCUAAAAAAAUAAAAAGUUAAAAAUAAACAAUUUAUAAAAUAAUUAAC